rnacentral:rRNA from 1 species
GACGAACGCUGGCGGCGUGCUUAACACAUGCAAGUCGAACGAUGAAACCUAGCUUGCUAGGUCGAUUAGUGGCGAACGGGUGAGUAACACGUGACUAACCUGCCCCUUUCUCUGGGAUAACGCUCCGAAAGGAGUGCUAAUACCGGAUACUCACACCGAGGCACAUGCCUUGGUGUGGAAAGUUUUUCGGAAAGGGAUGGAGUCGCGGCCUAUCAGCUUGUGGGUGAGGUAACGGCUCACCAAGGCGACGACGGGUAGCCGGCCUGGGAGGGGGACCGGCCACACUGGGACUGAGGAACGGCCCAGACUCCUACGGGAGGCAGCAGUGGGGAAUAUUGCACAAUGGGCGCAAGCCUGAUGCAGCGACGCCGCGUGAGGGAUGAAGGUCUUCGGAUUGUAAACCUCUUUCAGUAGGGAUGAAGCGAAAGUGACGGUACCUAAAGAAGAAGCACCGGCUAACUACGUGCCAGCCGCCGCAGUAA